rnacentral:rRNA from 1 species
GAUGAACGCUGGCGGCGUGCUUAACACAAGCAAGUCGAACGAGAAAUGGAGACGGAAACCUUCGGGCGGAAGGCUUCAUUUCGAGUGGCGGACGGGUGAGUAACGCGUGGGUAACCUGCCUCAUACAGGGGGAUAACAGUUGGAAACGACUGUUAAUACCGCAUAAGACCACAGCACCGCAUGGUGCGGGGGUAAAAACUCCGGUGGUAUGAGAUGGACCCGCGUUCGAUUAGCCAGUUGGCGGGGUAACGGCCCACCAAAGCGACGAUCGAUAGCCGAUCUGAGAGGAUGACCGGCCACAUUGGGACUGAGACACGGCCCAAACUCCUACGGGAGGCAGCAGUGGGGAAUAUUGCACAAUGGGGGAAACCCUGAUGCAGCGACGCCGCGUGAGUGAAGAAGUACUUCGGUAUGUAAAGCUCUAUCAGCAGGGAAGAAAAUGACGUACCUGAUAAGAG